UCAUAAGUGAGGUGUAUCCUUACCUAUUGUUCUCAGAAAACUUCAGAACAUGAUGAUUGGAGUUGAUAUGAAAUAUGAUUAUAUCUCCUUCCUGGCUGAGGGCAACAACUUUCCAGGUUUCCAGUCCGAC
ensembl:snoRNA U8 U8 small nucleolar RNA